rnacentral:rRNA from 1 species
UACAGAGGUGGCAAGCGUUGUUCGGAAUCACUGGGCGUAAAGCGCACGUAGGCGGACUCUUAAGUCAGGGGUGAAAUCCUGGAGCUCAACUCCAGAACUGCCUUUGAUACUGGGAGCCUUGAGUUCGGGAGAGGUGAGUGGAACUGCGAGUGUAGAGGUGAAAUUCGUAGAUAUUCGCAAGAACACCAGUGGCGAAGGCGGCUCACUGGCCCGAUACUGACGCUGAGGUGCGAAAGCGUGGGGAGCAAACAGG